GGCAGCAGCGCAACGUCUUAUGGACGAAUUAAAAAUACCUACAGAGCUCAUAGCUCGACGACUGUCGAGUAAUAAAAUUACAAUGUAGCAGAAAAAAACGCAAUGCAGCCUUCAAAGUAGCAAUAUAGAAGUUCAGUUUGCGCGCAAUUACGAAUUUUUUUUAGUGGAUACACUAUAAUUAGUAUUGUUUAAAAACAUACAAUGUAACAGAGGCUCUUAUUAGGGUUUAAGCAUAAUUUACAAGAGGUGGUAACAGAGAAGUUAAUAUUGGAUAAAUAUUUGAAAAACGGAAGCAUGUUGUGUGACCAAUUUAUCAGUAAGUUAGUUUCUUGUUUUUUUUUCUCACAAAAAAAUCCCAUACUUAUACUUUGUUGUGUAGGAAUUAAAUUUGAAUAAAAUUAUAAAGAAUUGUU